AUACGGAGGGUGCAAGCGUUAAUCGGAAUUACUGGGCGUAAAGCGUACGUAGGCGGUUCGUUAAGUUAGAUGUGAAAGCCCCGGGCUUAACCUGGGAACUGCAUUUAAAACUGGCGAACUAGAGUUGAGUAGAGGGGAGUGGAAUUUCAGGUGUAGCGGUGAAAUGCGUAGAGAUCUGAAGGAACACCAGUGGCGAAGGCGGCUCCCUGGACUCAAACUGACGCUGAGGUACGAAAGCGUGGGUAGCAAACGGGAUUAGAAACCCCUGUAGUCC
rnacentral:rRNA from 1 species